GCGACGGAUAGCUCAACAGCCGAGCCUGCUGUCCACAGAGCUCGCUCCGACCAGAACCUCCGGCGAGCACACGAUGGCGGAUGAUUCUCACAGUCGCGUUAUGUCGGAGGUAAAUGCAGAUCCCGAUGCCAAGCCGUCAGGCGCCGGUGACGACCACGACAGCCCCAACCCAAAGCGGCAAAGGAGAACGGUGAAAGCGCAGUGCAAGCACUGCGAGGAGAUAGUCUCGGCUUCUAUCGCGAGCGGUACGUCCUCCGAGGCUCUGCUGUCUCAUUUACAGAAAUGUCCCCAAAAGACGACGAGAAGGCACGCAGCGUCGAGUCCAAGCAGUCUGAUGCUGGGACGGUGUUCCAGACCAGUGGAGAUGUGAUCAAUCAGUAUGAUUUCCGUAAAGCCCUCGCCGUCUGGCUGGUCUGCCAGGGGCUCCCUUACGAGACUGUCGAGCAGCAAGGUUUCCGGCAUUUGAUGGGAACAGUCUGCCCUAAUUUCAAUAACUUGAAGAGGGAGAGGGCCGAGAGGGAGGUCCUGAGUCGGUACUUCGAGGAGCGGGAUUUCGUCAAGUCGGAGCUCAGGAGAGCCCCGGGACGAAUUUCGUUAUCUGUCGGGAUUUGGAAGUCGGGGUUCUCGAGCGAUGAGUUUAUUUGCAUCACUGCUCGUGGGAUCGAUGAUAGUUGGAAGUUGCAGAGGAUAUCGAGUUCAAGGCUUUAAAGCCACCGGUCGACGGAGUUCUGAUAGCGGGUGAGGUGGCUUUGUGUUUGUCCCGAUGGCAAAUCAAGAAGAAAGUGAUGAGUAUAACUCUCGAUGAUGGUUUAUGUAGUGGCUGUGACUCCAUGGCUGAUUCUCUGAGAACCCGUCUGCAAAUUGACGGCAAGACGCUUUCUAGGGAUGGUAUAUUCAUCCAGGUCGGUUGCUAUAAUUAUGUCUUGAAUUCUAUGGCUCAGUUGGGUUUGCAGCUUAUAGAGUCCGCUAUCGGGAAGCUUCGAGGUGGGCUUAUGUACAUCAAGAGAUAUCCUUGCAGAGAAGAUGAAUUUUAUGAACUCGCCAAGAAGAGUCAUCAGUUGGAUAAAAGCAAAAGGCUUGCACUGAUCUCGGGCGAGGUGGAUGGAACUCUAUGUAUCCUAUGCUCAAUCAUGCACUAUUUUAUAACUGUGUCCUGUUGGAUUGGGGCCAGAGGGAUGACAAGUUUCGGGAUUUUGUCGUUUUGGAGGGAGAAUGGGAAAAGAUUGCCAUCCUGAUGAAAUUCUUGGAACUUCUCCAUACAGCCGUACCCGACUUAUCGAAGACGAAGCAUCCCUUCUUUACCACUUACCUGAAGAAAAUCAUAUGAAUUUACCUUAGCUUGUCAGAUGAGAAAUGGUCCUCGCACAACUUCUUCUGCAAUACUGUCAGCGAAGCUCGAGAGAAGAUUCGCAAGUGUUGGUUAGACCGUAGCUUGGUCUUAUCGUUCGGUAGCAUAUUAGAUCCUCGUUUCAAGAGUUCUUUCGUGAAAUUCAGCUACUCUAAGUUAUUUGGCGACAAAGAUUUGGCCUCCGAGUAUGCAAACAAGGAUGUUGCUGCUCUUCAUGGUUUGUUAAUGGAGUAUGAGCGGGACUAAGGGCCCGACUCUCCCCGGACGAUGACGAUUUAAGUAAAAAUGCAUUAAUGUUUGAAUUCGAUGCCUAUGACCUGCAAGAGGAGUAUAAGACUUGAGUUUGAAUCUCACUUGGAUGAUAGGAGGAUCAAUUUCAACUUGGAGAUGGAUAUCUUAACGUAUUGGAGUGGAAACGGCGGGUUUUACAGACAUGGAAAGGUCGCCAAGGGGGCUGGGGACAUUCUAUCCAUUCCCCUUUUGACCUUAGCUCCUGAAUCUUCGUUCUGUGUCAGCAAGAAGUUGAUGAAUCCUCAAGGUAAGUCGCUGACACCAAAGACCCUCAAAGCUUUCAUUUGUCUGGGAGAUUGGCUAUGAGCACGGAACCCUUCUCUCUCGGCACCUCGCCAUGUUGGCGUUUGGAAGUGAUUUGUCGAAGGGUGACGAAUAUAUCUCCAAUGAGGAUGAUCACGACGAUCGUGUUUGGUGGUGAUAAAUAAUAAAGUGCCACAGAAGAUCAGCUCGAGAUUACCAGGCUGUACGUUCUUUCACAUGAUUUUGUCUUCUCAGCUAAAACAUUCUAGCAAUAUCCUUAAUUCACGACCUUCCGACACUACAGUGAUUUGGUAGAUUGUUUUGGCUGUAGGGUAAAAACAUUCUGCCUUUAAUUAUGCUUUCUUUAGUCGAUUAUGCUUUCUGAUGA